rnacentral:ncRNA from 1 species
GUUCUCGGGGCGGGGCGAAAUUCCCCACCGGCGGUGAUAACAUUGUUGCUUAAGCCCGCGAGCGCUUUUCGGCUCCCAUCCGAAAAGGUCAGCAGACUUGGUGUAAUUCCGAGGCCGACGGUUAUAGUCCGGAUGGUAGAGAACG